GAUGAACGCUGGCGGCGUGCCUAAUACAUGCAAGUCGAGCGAACAGACGAGGAGCUUGCUCCUCUGACGUUAGCGGCGGACGGGUGAGUAACACGUGGAUAACCUACUUAUAUGACUGGGAUAAUUUCGGGAAACCGGAGCUAAUACCGGAUAAUAUAUUGAACCGCAUGGUUCAAUAGUGAAAGACGGUUUUGCUGUCUCUUAUAGAUGGAUCCGCGCCGCAUUAGCUAGUUGGUAAGGUAACGGCUUACCAAGGCAACGAUGCGUAGCCGACCUGAGAGGAUGAUCGGCCACACUGGAACUGAGACACGGUCCAGACUCCUACGGGAGGCAGCAGUAGGGAAUCUUCCGCAAUGGGCGAAAGCCUGACGGAGCAACGCCGCGUGAGUGAUGAAGGUCUUCGGAUCGUAAAGCUCUGUUAUUAGGGAAGAACAGAUGUGUAAGUAACUAUGCACGUCUUGACGGUACCUAAUCAGAAAGCCACGGCUAACUACGUG
rnacentral:rRNA from 1 species